rnacentral:rRNA from 1 species
CCUACGGGUGGCAGCAGUGGGGGAUAUUGCACAAUGGGGGGAACCCUGAUGCAGCGACGCCGCGUGGGUGAAGAAGCGCCUCGGCGCGUAAAGCCCUGUCAGCAGGGAAGAAAAUGACGGUACCUGUAGACGAAGCACCGGCUAACUACGUGCCAGCAGCCGCGGUAAUACGCAGGGGGCAAGCGUUAUCCGGAUUUACUGGGUGUAAAGGGGGCGCAGGCGGCUGUGCAAGUCAGGAGUGAAAGCCCGGGGCUCAACCCCGGGACUGCUCUUGGUACUGCGUGGCUGGCGUGCAGGCGCGGCAGGCGGAAUGCCUGGUGUAGCGGUGAAAUGCGUAGAUAUCAGGCGGAACACCGAUGGCGAAGGCGGCCUGCUGGACUGCAACUGACGUUGAGGCCCGAAAGCGUGGGGAGCAAACAGGAUUAGAUACCCGAGUAGUC